UGGAAACAAAAGCAAAUAAAAAUCGAAUUAUGUCCUGUGCCAGAUGGUGUCGAUUUACAAGCUGUAGAGUGAGAGGGUACUCUGGAAGGAAAGGGAAAUCCAACUGAAUUGGCAACACUUAUCUGGAGGAGU
ensembl:ncRNA R07G3.11 ncRNA